rnacentral:tRNA from 1 species
GCGCCUGUCAGCUAAUGGUAGGCUACGAGCCCCCCAAGCUCGAAGUCCGGGUUCGAAUCCCGGCAGGCGCA